rnacentral:sRNA from 1 species
CCCUAGCCCUGAUGGAAGCGGCAUCUCCCGCUUUAGAAAAACAAGGCGACAGCCGUAGUUUUUCAAAGCGGGAAUACAGCGGACAGCAGGAAAUAGC